UACGAAGGGGGCUAGCGUUGUUCGGAAUUACUGGGCGUAAAGCGCGUGUAGGCGGGUCUUUAAGUCAGGGGUGAAAUGCCAGGGCUCAACCUUGGAACUGCCUUUGAUACUGGAGAUCUUGAGUCCGGGAGAGGUGAGUGGAAUUGCGAGUGUAGAGGUGAAAUUCGUAGAUAUUCGCGAGAACACCAGUGGCGAAGGCGGCUCACUGGCCCGGAACUGACGCUGAGACGCGAAAGCGUGGGGAGCGAACAGG
rnacentral:rRNA from 1 species